rnacentral:rRNA from 1 species
AGUGAACGCUGGCGGUAGGCCUAACACAUGCAAGUCGAACGGCAGCACAGUAAGAGCUUGCUCUUACGGGUGGCGAGUGGCGGACGGGUGAGGAAUACAUCGGAAUCUACUUUUUCGUGGGGGAUAACGUAGGGAAACUUACGCUAAUACCGCAUACGACCUACGGGUGAAAGCAGGGGAUCUUCGGACCUUGCGCGUUUGAAUGAGCCGAUGUCGGAUUAGCUAGUUGGGGGGGUAAAGGCCCACCAAGGCGACGAUCCGUAGCUGGUCUGAGAGGAUGAUCAGCCACACUGGAACUGAGACACGGUCCAGACUCCUACGGGAGGCAGCAGUGGGGAAUAUUGGACAAUGGGCGCAAGCCUGAUCCAGCCAUACCGCGUGGGUGAAGAAGGCCUUCGGGUUGUAAAGCCCUUUUGUUGGGAAAGAAAAGCAGCAGGUUAAUACCCCGCUGUUCUGACGGUACCCAAAGAAUAAGCACCGGCUAACUUCGUG